rnacentral:pre_miRNA from 1 species
AUCAUACUCCCUUCGUCCGAAAAUACUUGUCAUCAAAAUGAAGAAAAUGGUUUUGAUGACAAGUAUUUCCGGACGGAGGGAGUAAUAA